GACGAACGCUGGCGGCGUGCCUAAUACAUGCAAGUCGUGCGGACCUUUUAAAAGCUUGCUUUUAAAAGGUUAGCGGCGGACGGGUGAGUAACACGUGGGCAACCUGCCUGUAAUACUGGGAUAACGCCGGGAAACCGGGGCUAAUACCGGAUCGUUUUUCCUCCCCAUGGGGGAAAAAGGAAAGGCGGCUUCGGCUGCCACUUACAGAUGGGCCCGCGGCGGAUGAGCUAGUUGGCGGGGUAACGGCCCACCAAGGCAACGAUGCGUAGUCGAACUGAGAGGGUGAGUGGCCGGAUUGAGACGGAGACAGGGCACAAAGGGCUACGGAAGGCAGCAGGAGGGAUUCGUGCGCCAGCGGUGAGAGACUGAGGGAGCAACGCGGAGUGAGGGAAGAACGCCGUCGGGUCGGAGAACACUGUUGCCGGGGAAGAAAACGUUCCGUCCGAAGAGGGCGGGGCCUUGACGGUACCGGGUCAGAAAGCCACGGCUAACUACGUG
rnacentral:rRNA from 1 species